rnacentral:rRNA from 1 species
CUUGGUCAUUUAGAGGAAGUAAAAGUCGUAACAAGGUUUCCGUAGGUGAACCUGCGGAAGGAUCAUUCAUAAUAAGUGUUUUAUGGCACUUUUUAAAUCCAUAUCCACCUUGUGUGCAAUGUCAGUCGAUCUUCUUCAUGGAGAUCGACCAAACAUCAACCUUUAUUUUUAACUCUUUGUCUGAAAAAUAUUAUGAAUAAACAAUUCAAAAUACAACUUUCAACAACGGAUCUCUUGGCUCUCGCAUCGAUGAAGAACGCAGCGAAAUGCGAUACGUAAUGUGAAUUGCAGAAUUCAGUGAAUCAUCGAAUCUUUGAACGCAUAUUGCGCUCUUUGGUAUUCCGAAGAGCAUGCUUGUUUGAGUAUCAGUAAACACCUCAAAGCUUUUGGAUUUUUUAAUCGAAAAGCUUUGGACUUGAGCAAUCCCAACACCAAUCUUUUUGAGAUCGGUGGCGGGUUGCUUGAAAUGCAGGUGCAGCUGGACAUUCUCCUGAGCUAAAAGCAUAUUCAUUUAGUCCCGUCAAACGGAUUAUUACUUUUGCUGCAGCUAACAUAAAGGGAGUUUGACCGUAUUGGCUGACUGAUGCAGGAUUUCACAAGGGUCGGCAACGAUUCUUGUUAAACUCGAUCUCAAAUCAAGUAAGACUACCCGCUGAACUUAAGCAUAUCAAUAAGCGGAGGA